ensembl:lncRNA
UUUCAAACUCCUUCGGGUGCAGUGCAAAAAUCUAGGUAAAAAUUACAGAGCUUUGCAGUGGGUAAGUUCCAGGUUCUCACAUGAAGAAGACCUAUCUUUGUGAGAAAUAUGCGGAAGUUGCAAACUUGCCUUGUGCACUGGAGAAAUUUAACAGAAAUAAAAUCUUAGCAACUCAUAAUGAUGUAGUCUGUAAUACUUCAUAUCAACCUAGACAUAAUAUAUUCCUAGACGUCUCAUAAAUUAACAGUGAAUGCUGUGAAAAUACCUAAUUUUGCAAAGCUGCUGAGCACAGAAUAUCUGCAUAAAAUAAAAGUGAUGCAUCAAGAUCUAGUUCAAAAAGCAUUUUCCUCUCUCUUCGGGUGCCAACUUUACCGCAUAGGACUUUCCAAACCUAACAGCAGGGCUACCCAGAAGGAAGAAAAGUAGAGCAAAUUUGACAAGAACCAUCUCACUUAAGGGAAAAUAUUUAAAUUACUGACCAGGCUUGAUUACGAGGGUAACAGGUUCAAUUUUGCCCACAUCUUUUUAAAUAUGCCACUAGUGACAGACCCUUGCAUAUGACUGCAAACGCAUGUAAGAGACAAAGACCUAAUACAAUGGAACCACACAGUGUACAACACAUCACGAUUAAUUGUGCAGAAAUAAUAACAUAGCAGCAAGUAUAAUAUCAAAUUAAUGCAUCUGGAUACUUAAAAUAAGUCUCUCUUUGCAAUAGCCAAGGUAGCUCUACGAGAAUAUUUGGCUCCCGUGCAGAUAAAUAUACAAAUUUCUGGAAAAAUUUGCAUCUUCAAGAUACAGAGGAGAAAAAAAAAAAAAAGAAGAAGAAGAAAAAGAAUCUUCCAGGGGCACAAGAGGUGGUUCUGCUGUGUGUCAGCUUCACACCCUAGUGCACCAAGCUGCUGUAUGAGGAACCAAAGGCAUGGGUGCUGGUCCUGGUACCCUACUCCAAACUGACUAGCCUCUAACAGAAGGGCCAGACACCAACCAGCUAGUUCUGCCAGAGAUCCAACAUGAGGCCCCAUCACAGUAUUUCAAAGUUUGUAUAAGAGCUAUCCUAUGAAAUAAAAGGCUUCUUUGAUUCUUAAAAUGUAUUGCCUUUCACCUCUUUCUUGGCUUAAGGGAAAAAAAAGUGAGAAAUUACAUAUGAUGCCCCUUUUCUGAACUGCUUUUCAAAGCUACUAACUGGAAGAUCUCCCUUUUGUAGCUGCUUUAAGACCUUCUAACAAGACUGUCAGUCAGCACUGAAAAGCAGCAUUGCCUUCCCACUGCUAAGGAAAAACCCAGUAAGGCCAGGAGGAU